GAUGAACGCUGGCGGCGUGCCUAAUACAUGCAAGUCGAGCGAACAGAUGAGGAGCUUGCCUCGCUUACGUUAGCGGCGGACGGGUGAGUGACACGUAGAUAACCUACCUAUAUGACUGGGAUAACUGCGGGGAACCGGAGCCAAUACCCGAUAAUAUAUUGAACCGGAUGGUUCAAUAGUGAAAGACGGUUCUGCUGUCACUUAGAGAUUGUUCCGCGCCGGAUUAGCUAGUUGGUAAGGUAACGGCUUACCAAGGCAACGAUGCGUAGCCGACCUGAGAGGAUGAUCCGCCACACUGGAACUGAGACACGGUCCAGACUCCUACGGGAGGCAGCAGUGGGGAAUCUUGGACAAUGGGCGAAAGCCUGAUCCAGCCAUGCCGCGUGAGUGAAGAAGGUCUUCGGAUUGUAAAGCUCUGUUAGUUGGGAAGAACACACGUGUACGUAUACAUGCACGUCUUGACGGUACCAACACAAAAAGCACCGGCUAACUACGUG
rnacentral:rRNA from 1 species